CGCAAACACCCCUCUUCAGUGGGAGAAAUGGUAGCGACGGCUCCUCCUCCUUUCUUUGGUUGAUGAAAAGAUACCUCGUGGCCGGCUCUUAAUUAUUAAAUAAGGCAGCUAAUAAAGCAUAAGCGCCUCAGAGGAAAAGAGGGUUUUCCCUCUCCACAGAAAGAGCGGAAGAACGGCUGUUAAAGGUACUUUGCUCGUCCAGCAUGAUCUUCAAAGAAUUUUGGAAAAGUUACGUUUUUCAUUUUGAUUAUUUUCCCGGAAGUAUUUUCUGUUAAGGGAAUGGCAAAGGAUGGGCAAAGCUAAUCAAGUAAUCAUGUAUAUAAUGAUACAUGGUUCCCACGCCCUCACUUCAAAUAUAACAGAUGCUUUUGAGUUAUGGGAUGGAAAAUUCACUCUUUUGCUUUUCAUUUCAUUCUGAAACUGGUUCUUUGAUGAAUAAGCAAGCAGGAAAUAGAGGAUUUGCAAUGAGACACUGCGUGGAUAGACGGUAAUGAAGAUGGAUGCUGCCCUAGUUUGACAGCAGGUGUCAAUGCACUGCUGAAGAUUCUUGGCAAUGCAUGUGAAGAAUACAUACUGGACUCUGCAGCAAGAAACUGUCUUGUCCCCUGCUGUGUGGGAGGAAAGCCACACAUCAAGGGACAGCAUGCACAGAUACUGUGACAGGGCACUCAGUGGACAAUAUGCACGGCAGUUAUGACCUAGCAAUAGCCCACAAACUACUGGAACUCUAUGUACCUAGUUGACAUGGAGGAAGGGGCUAGAGGGUUUGGAGAAGUAAGAACUGGACAUUUCCAAACAGGGAUUAAGCAUAUGUUGCCAGUUUUAUAGAUUCACUUCACUGUUGAAUAAUUCUAGAAUUUUACAUUAAAAAGAAGUAUUUAUGAGACAGGAUGACUGCCAUCUCGCUUAAUAUAUUAUUUUGCUUGUUGAAAUUACUGCUGUCUUUUUAAUGAAAGAUAAAUAUUUUGAUUAAUUGUUCUUCAGUAAAUACAGUGCAACAGAUUUUUAUAAA